UCUCCGCCUCUCUCCUUUCUCACUCUCUGGUUUCUCGUUCUCCCACACAGAUGAAGCAGAGAGACUUCAUUUAUAUAUCGAUCCAUGAUUCCUAUAUCACCAAAACAUCACCGGAGAACUCAACUCAGAAAAAACAACCCUAAACUUACCCGAAAUCAAUAACCUAAUCUGCAAACCGAUUUUACAGAAUUCAAAUCUAUCUCUCUGAUUUCGCAAACCCUAGAAAUUAGAUUCUCAGACUCCACGGAGAUUCAAGUAGUAACCCUAGAAAGGUGAUUUUUCAAGUUCUGAGAAGAAGAAUCGGUGUGGCUCAUUUCUUAGAAUCUCGUGGUAUGCUGGAGGUAGCUACUGAUCCAAAUUACAGAUUUGAUUUAGGAAGACUAUAUGUUGCGGAGCCGGUUGUUGAUGUUUUUGACCCAAGAUCUUUGGUCGCUCCAUCUAUAUGCCACCCACUGGAUUUUUUCUCUCUCUCAAGUUUCUUCUGAAGCCUCUAUCUUAUCAGUCGCUAUUACUUACACUUUUUAUCUUCUAAGAAGAAGAGCUUUAUGAAAUCGAAGCUAAGCUUUUGUUGACCUCUGUUUGCACUAGACUGCAUGGUUUGAUGAAAGGUACAGCUUUCUUUUCUUAUUAAGGACGUGGAUAUCUGCGUUCUUGUUUCAUAUUCACUAUAUCGUGCAUGUUGCAUAUUCUUCUUGGGGAGGUUCUAUGAUGAGGUUUAUGCUAACAACUAAAGUCAAUAUGCAGUACUAUAAAACAAUGGUUUUCGACAGCCCGCAACCCACUGGUACCAACUCCACUGUGUUUUGUCUCAGCCAAUUCAUGUCAUGGCUGGACAAGAGAUUACUGGAGCUCUUGGCAUGGUUGCUCCCAGUGCUCAGAGUUAUCCCAUGUACUUAACUAUGUCAGCUCAGGCACCAAAAUCUUCUUUACUCUCCUUUUAGUGUUGUCAGGAAUGGUGAAAAUGUUAAUUCUAACUCUGGGAUUUAUAACCUAGCUUUAUUGGGGGCCAUAGAUAUUAAUUGGGGGCCUUGAACUUUUAUUUGCACCACAAAAUUUUCAGGGGCUUAUUAAACCGACCAUGAAAAAUACUUUUUUACCCUUACUUAUUUUUAAUUUUUUUAAUCAAUGACAGCUUUAAAGGGUCGUUAGUAUUCUGAAUAACGACACUUUAGAGUCGUCACUGUUUUCAGUGACGACCCAAAGCGUCGUUGUGGCCUAUAUGACGACUCUAACAAGUCGUUAAUGUUCGGAAUAACAACUCUAAGAGUCGUCCUUGUUUUCACUACG